UCCGGUUUGGCACCGGCAGUCCCCCGAGAGUCCUCAGCGCUUUGCAGCCUGUUAGCAACACGGGGCGGGGGUUGCGCUCGUUGCGGGACUUAACCCAACAUCUCACGACACGAGCUGACGACAGCCAUGCAGCACCUGUGCACGGGCUCCGAAGAGGGCUCCGUGUUUCCAAAGAGUUUCCCGUGCAUGUCAAGCCUAGGUAAGGUUCUGCGCGUUGCGUCGAAUUAAACCACAUGCUCCACCGCUUGUGCGGGCCCCCGUCAAUUCCUUUGAGUUUCACCGUUGCCGGCGUACUCCCCAGGUGGAUUACUUAUCGCUUUCGCUAAGCCGCGUACUGUUUAUCGCACACAGCGAGUAAUCAACGUUUACAGUGUGGACUAC
rnacentral:misc_RNA from 1 species